rnacentral:snoRNA from 1 species
UAGUCAACGAGAGUUUAUUUUGAGGAUAUCUACAUCUAUCUUUGACCGAGUCUUCCUGUUCUCAGGGGAAAUGGAUGGUGUCACGUCAAGGUGGUUUAUACCCAUUCUGUUAGUAUGUCAAUACUCAACUCCAUUUUACAUAUAAUAGCAAUCAUAACCGGUUAGCAACCAUUUUGGUUGAAUUCUGGUUG